AGGUGAGAACUGUCACAAGAGAGCAAGUGAAGUUACUGCGAGAAGCUGUUUGCAAUGACUCUGAAUUCAACGCCAGGCCAUUGCAACCCAUAAACAGGCGCCCGGUGCAGCUGGUUAGUCCAACUGACAGCGAAUUAGAAAGCGAGAAUCCGUGAUUUUGCUGUUAAUGCCCUCAUUAGUGGGACGACGCAGAGCUUUCAGUGAUAGUAUAAUGUAAUUGACAGGGUGGAAAAUAGGUGCGGAAGUUGGUUAAAGGAUACUUAAUCAUAUAUUAGAGUGGCCGGAGAUUUUAUUCCCCUCGCGUAUGCUCAUCGGUUUCUCGGUUUAUUAUUACCUGCAGUUACCA